rnacentral:rRNA from 1 species
UACAGAGGCCUCAAGCGUUAGGCGGAAUCACUGGGCUUAAAGCGUGUGUAGGCGGAUCGUUAAGUGUCUUGUGAAAUCCCACGGCUCACCCGUGGAACUGCUGGGCAUACUGGCGAUCUUGGGCCAACUAGGGGCAACUGGAACAAGCGGUGGAGCGGUGAAAUGCGUAGAUAUCGCUUGGAACGCCGAAGGUGAAAACAGGUUGCUGGGG